CUAUUAGUCGACUUAGGGAUCUGACAUCAUGUCGCCGUUACCAUAUUAGGCUGUUUUUUACUUUUUAAUAUGCUUUAUUUCAGUUAGCUGACUCUGUAAAACGUAACAUGUCUUGGUUGACUAGAUGUUCCUUUACGAUGAAAAGAGACGCCAUAAGGAAUGGCGUUUGGACCAGAGAAUGACGCAUGCGUUAUGUUGUCACGACGACAGGAGACAAAAGUGUGGCUUCUGCUCAAAGAUUUGGCUUUUAAUUUGGUGUUAUUAAUACUUCGGUCAUUUGUUUGAGUACACAUGUAUUCAAAUGUACCUCCCCCCUGGUAAUUUUCCACUGGGAUGUUCCUGCUCCUUCUCGAACCUUCUAGAAAGACAUGUGUUCCUUUGUAUUGACUGGACAUGACGUCAUAAUACAGUAUAUCAACAUUCGAAGGUGAAGACAUGGCUGUUUUUCCAUCAUUUUAUACAGUAUAUCAACAUUAGAAAGUGAAGACAUGGCUGUUUUACAACAUUUAUUCCGCCAACAAAGGCGUUAUCACUGCAGCAAAGUGAAAAAGUAGAUCCGACUAACAUUCUGGUUCUAUCCAGUUUCGGAGGUAUGAACCGCAGUCACUGGAAGAUUAAUCCACGCAGCCGUUGAGCAUGACGUCGGCUGUUUUGUUUCAAACUGAGAGAGGAACCUUGUCUUUCUGAACACAAUAUGAGGUUUAAUGCUUGACAUCAUUUCAAAAUAUAUGUAUUUAUUUUGCUCCUCAAGCUAUCAUUUGCGUACUGGCCACAAUUUCUGAUCGGAAACGCGGUACUAUUUUUCUUGUCGGAUGGAUACGUAAUUUACCCUUGACGUACUCACGCAAAGCGUAUAAAUAGGACCAGUGGCCGUCGUCCUUCACAUUACUUCUUUUCGUCGUCGUCUCGUUCAAGCCUCAGGUGAAAUUGUUUUUUAGUAUUACUUUUUUUUUUUUUAUCUUACACGAUUUUAUUAUCGUUUAGAAUGCUGUAGUUAUUUAUGUCUUUGUGGCACGAAAUUAGACUUCCUUUUAUUGCAAUUCAAAUUUGAACUUUACAGUACAGAUAAGAACCCGGAUUAUCGAAUGUUCUCGAAUUGUAUGACGCGACAUUUUAUUUUUAUUUAAGUUUUUAUUUUAUUUUUUCAGAUCUUUCAAAUAUUGUUGAAGCUUUAUCGAGACUUUUGAUUCGAUACCUUUUGUUUUAAUGGUCAAUCUUGACGGGGUAAAUGUUUUCGACGGUGAUAUUAAUAGAAUUGUUUGUGUUUUAAAGGCAAGAUGGUAAUUUUAGUUAAUAGUCACGUGGUUUUAAAAGGGUUCACGUCAGCAUUUAAAAAAAAAAGCUCAAGAUGUCCGCCGUGACGUAGUAUCCUUUCCCAGCUGCGAUUGUUUGAUUCAAACCACCAGGACUCCUCCCCUUUUGUCUGCUGACUUCACAGUGACGCAAAUUUAUUUAAAAAGUCACCCCUGAAUGGCCAAGGUCAGUAGCUUUUGUCAAUUUUAACCACCCCGGUUUUAAGACUUUUCGCAAAAACUGUUAACCAACUCAAAGCUAUCUAAAGAUUGUCUUGUGCCUGACGGGGAACCGGUAUUUGUUACUUUCACGACUAAGUUAGACCCUGUUUUGUUCUUUUUUAGUAACUGUUGACUUAUAAUGUAAUUCAAGCCUCAAACAUGUUCAUUUGUACUUUGUUAGUAAUACUUUUAUUGCGACAUAGCUGACUAAUAUCAUACUAUUUAAAGCAGCAAUUUUAAUGCCAUUAUUUGGUUGACUCAAUUGACAAUUUAUGGUUAUGACCAAAAAGGUCAGACAAAACUUAAAAAAAAAAAAAAGUCAAUUUAUGGCUUUGACCAAAAAAAAACCAUCCAUUUGUUUGACUCGAUUGGCAGUUGAUGGCUUUGACCAAAACAGUCAGCCAAGCCUUUGAAAAAAAUAAAUAAAAUAUAUGGCUUUGACAAGUCAGUCAAGACUGAAAAUAAUAAAGCCAUCAUUUGGUUGACUCAGUUGGGAAUUUAUGGCUUAUACCAAAAGUCAGCCAAGACUUAAAAAAGAAAUAAAAUAUAUGGCUUUGACCAAAAAGUCAGCCAAAACUUAAAAUAUAUAAUAUAUAUGGUUUUGACCAAAAAAGUCAGCCAAGACUUAAAAAAAAAAAAAAAAAAGAUUUGGCUUUGACCAAAAAAAGUCAGCCAAGACUUAAAAAAGAAAUAAAAUAUAUGGCUUUGACCAAAAAGUCAGCCAAGACUUAAAAUAUAUAUAUAUGGCUUUGACCCAAAAAGUCAGCCAAGACUUAAAAAAAAAAAAAAAAAAAAAAAAAAGAUUUGGCUUUGACCAAAAAGUCAGCCAACACUAAAAAAAAAAAAAUAUGUGGCUUGACCAAAAUCAGCCAAGACUUGAAAAAAAAAUAUGGCUUUGACCAAAAAAGUCAACCAAGACUUAAAAAAAAAAAAAAUAUGGCUCAGACCAAAAAAAAAGUCAUCCAAGGCUUAAAAAAAAAAGAGAAAAUAUAUGGCUUUGACCAAAAAAGUCAGCCAAGACUUAAAAAAAAAAAAAAAAAAAAUUGCCUUUUGGUUGACUACUAUGGCUAUUUGUGGCUUUGACCAAAACAACUAUUUUGACAGCCAUUAUUUGGUUGAGUCUACAUUGGCAACAUAUAGUUUUGACUUAAAAAAAAAAUUAAAAAAAAUCCCAGCCAUUAUUUGGUUUUCUCAACUGGCAAUUUGUUGCUUUGACUUAGCCAAAGUCAUUGUAGUUGUGGGGAAAAUUGUAUUGUCAAAGGCAUGUUCUUUCUUCAGUAUUUUUUGACCUGGCACUGCUAAACAAAUGUGUCUUGCACUUUUAAAAGACAUUCGCUCAUUUUAACGAGCAAUUAGUUGUGUCAAAACUAAUUGUUGCCAAUCCAAAGUUCAUGCUAGUAUAGAAAUGUCAGUUGCUCAAGCCUUAUUUUUUUAGAGAAGAUGGAAGAUUUUUUUUUUUUGCCCCUUUUUUUACGGGAAAUGGACUGAGUUAUUGAAGAAUGGACUUAGUCUUUAGAGGAAGAAUGGACAUAGUCGUUAGAGGAAGAUGACGGGAUCAGCGAGGUCGUUGGACGCGGGGAGCCAGGCAGGACAGGACCAGAGCGUGUGGCGGAACCAAAAGGCGCGAGGGAGGACAGGACCAGGAGCGUGCGGUGGGACCAGAGGGCGUGGCGGGAGGAGCAGAUGGGUCCAAAAGAGCAGGCGUCAGUGGUCACCAGAUGGAGCCAGAGGCAGGGUAGCAGCGACCAAAGGCCCGUCGGUGAAGUGGUUCGACAGAUGGCGAGCCAGGCAGGGCGCGAGUGUCUUCACGUUAAUCGCAAUGGUGUUGGUUUGUAUGAAGGUAGAGGUAUCUGUUACAGGCCCUGUUAAUCAAAAUACAUUUUUUGUAGGACAUGUCUCGCACAGAUCUCUCUUCCCUUUUCCAGGCUAUCUGUAAGCGUUUCGUACUUCGAUCACCGUUCCUGUUUGCCGACUCAUAUCGUGGUGGUGUUUGCUGUGACGACUGCCUUGGUAGUGCGGUGGUGAGAGGAACGCCUUAUCGGAAUUCUCUACCCCUGCGAUCACAAGUCGUUCCCCGGCCGGAGAGAGGCAGUCCUUUGUUCGCUAGGCCGACGUUGAAGUUUGUCUACAUUUGGGUUUCUUGCAAAUCUCUUGGGUAAAGGGAGGGUGGGGCUGGGGGGGCCUUAAUCAGUCUCUUCCUAGACUCCACAGCUCUCAAGUUUCCCUUCGCAAUGGCUCGAAUAAGAAGCAUCGCCGUGUGCCCAACAUCGGUCAAGUGGACAAUUUGCAUCGCAGGAUAGCAACCCCUAAUGUAGUACCCCUGGUGUAGCCAGAGCACAUGUGGAGUGUGGUAAAAGUCUCUUUACUAGAAUCAUUGCAACUGUGUUCAGGCAUUAUGCUGCUUGUGGGAAGGGGAGGGAGCUGUGUCUGUGUUUUUGCAGAUAAUUAUACCAGCCCUUCAAUAGUCUACACCCAAGUCAACAUCUUCACAUCAGUGCGUAAGGCGGAAAUUCUUCGUGUUCACCACAACUGCGGUAUUUAAGUACUAUUUUUUAUGUAUUACUCAUGCAGAUGUAAUUACAGCUACUGUUAGUUUGCAUUGCCUUGUAUUUUGGGUGGGGUCAUGCGGGGAGAGGCUUUUUCCUUUGCAUUUUCAGUGUGCCGUGUCCUGUGCGCUUUCCAAUACCCGAGUACCUGGAAGUCUCCUAACUCAUUGUAUGUACACGUUUCCUUGCGCUUCGAGCAUCACGUAAGGUCAUUAAAUGUCUUCAUUAUUUUUAACCCUCAUUGUCUUGUAAAAUUCCUCCAUUGCAAUUCCUUUGCAAUUAGUUACUAUCCUUUGUAUUGAUAAUACAAUGAGUAAACUAUUUGUAAAGGAUUUCUCUAUAUGCAGAAUAAAUGCAUAGCUUGUUGUGAUUGACUACAGUAUUGGUAUGCAUUUGUUUUCUGGGGGAGGGAGCUUUUCUUGUGCUUUUUCAGGUUAUUAAGCUUGGAGCAUUGUAGAGCACGGAUGUGGCCUGGGCUCGAAUGAUCUUUUCAAAGCGGAAAUUGAAGGCAGAUAAGUGGAAUCCAUCAAAUAUUGAUGUUGUAAAGCAGCAAACCUGAUAUGUUGAAUGGGCUGAACUUCCCUUUUUAAACAAACUUGCUAUACUUGACUGACGAGAGCUAGCAUAGCCCUGCUUUGCCCGUGUACUUAACUAUGGUAACAUUUGAUGGACCUUGCUUGUUGUAUCUGCAGUAAAGCAUUUGGGUAAGGAUAACAAUAGUCAGUUCUAUGAUCUUGUGGGGUUAUGGGGUUGUAGGGGUUGUUAUUUCUACCUCUCUUAAUUCUACAGAGCAGUCCAAAGGAAGGACGCAAUCUCCCACGGCAACACCAGAAUCAUGCUGCCCUUUGAUGACUCGGGAGACAGGUUUUAAAUACUAUGCCACAUUAGUCCUCAGCUACAUGCCUUUGUGCAACUGUGCAAGUGGCAGGUCUUUGAUGGAAAUACAAAUAUCACGCAACUGUGUGACAUUUCCAAAUUUUGUAGCUGAGGAAAGCUGUGCAUUGUGCAGCUUUAAUUUGUUGAAUGCAAUGCAAAUGUGUUGCUGUAGUUUGUGCGCUGGUUGUGGUUGUUCGUAUCCCUGAAUUUCUCUUUACAGAGCUCAGAUUUUGAGUGGUUGAAGGAUUGAAGUCAUCUAAUCCAGACAUUGUAGUAAGACGUAAACUCAUUUGCCAAAAUAACAAUGUCCUAGCUAAAAUGACAUCUUGGAACUGGCUUUGUUAACCUCUAAUCAAAACAAUGCUUUACCAGUUAAUUCCUCUUUGCAUCUUUCAAAUUACAAGAUGAGUAGAUAUAAGUUUUCUGUGGUGGGUGUGUUGUGUAGAUCACUCUUUGUUUCAGAUGGUUUGCGUCUGUCCCCUCCGAUCUCGCCUGCCCUUGAAUGCAAAGCCAUCUGUGGAAGCUGCCGGCCAAUAUGUGUAGCCCUGAAUGGCGUUCCAACCCCCUGUGCGCUUGUGCUUAAACCCGACGUCCUUCGCAGAAGCCUUGCUCUCUCUCUGUCUCCGUGUGUGCCUCUUUCCAUUUUGGUUUCUCACUCAGGUCAAAAUUUCCAAAUAAUCAAAAUGCCGCCUGGAAUGGCCUAACCUGUGGAACACUGAGAAUCCAGUCACUAGAGCAACACCUGCAACUUUCUUUCCCCCCAAUGCAUCGCUUGUGUCGUGGGUGUGAAGUUAAGUAAUUUCGGUUCCCCUAAUUUUCAUGCCAUGGCUUGUAAAGUGUUAACUACAUGCUGCAUGUACAUCAUGACUUGAUACUACUGCAAUGUGUUACAAUGCUGUGGGGGGGUGGGGGAGCAACUUCUCUUGUCUUUUUCAGAACUUACAGCAUAAAUCACUUGAGACUUAAAGCUCAGCACCAAGUUGUGGAAUGCCUUGCUUCUGCCUGCCCUUCUAGUUUAAAUGUCUUCGCCCAGGAAGAGUAGCUGGUGGUUAAUGCGUAUUCGACAGGUGGCGGUAAACAACAACCAUAUUUACUUUGCAUUGGACAAGCUCUGCCAAACAUUUGGGGGUGUCUCGAUGGGGAGGGAGGGGGGAUGGGGAGGCUGAUGUUCUUUUUCUCCUUAUUACAGCCCGUUUGACCCGAGCGAGUCCUGCCCAGUAUCAACAGAGAGGCUGGUAUCGUGUUUAAUGGAUAUGGAACCGAUCGAACCGUACAUUAUCGCUGGGUGUCGGGACAAGCGCUUGUGUUUUCUAGUUUCAGCCUCGUGUCCACUGACGUAGCAGCCAUGGGUUUUCUUUUCCUGGAGGAACAACCUCCUGGGUCUGUUUCUCCAGGUUUUGCUUUUGCCCUCAAUACAGCAACAACAAAAAGCAAAAGACUCCGGUGGUGGCACUCCUGACUUGUCGGGACGGGGUUCAAUUCCCUGCGGUGUCUUGCUUUUCUCAUGUGCUGUGGCUAGUCAGAUCUAAGAUCAAUAAUCUAUCCAACAGAAUUUACAAAUGUAUAGCUUUACACUCUUACCUUUUCAAGACCUUACCAGAGGUGGGUAGAGUAGCCAGAAAUUGUACUCAAGUAAGAGUAUGUUACUUUAGAGUUAAAUUCUCAAGUAAAAGUAGUCCCCCAAAUAUUUACUCGAGAAAGUAUUUUGUGAAAAAAAUACUCAAAUACUGAGUAACCUGUUUAAUGAUGGCAACAAGUAAUGCACAAAAACAUAAAAAUAGCAAUGAACAAAUUCAGAGCCAGGAAUCUCUUAAGCAACUAAAACAAUAUACAUAUUAAAUAGGUUUUACACUAUUGAAAAAAAAUUUGAAAAUUAAUUUUACCUUUGCAACCUCAUACGAUUAUUUAAAAGGGCUACUGAAAUGAGAUUUUCUUAUUUAAACGGGGAUAGCAGGUCCAUUCUGUGUCAUACUUGAUCAUUUCGCGAUAUUGCCAUAUUUUUGCUGAAAGGAUUUAGUAGAGAACAUUGACGAUAGCAGAUGAUGUGCGCGUGAUGUCACUGGUUGUGGAGCUCCUCACAUCUGGACAUUUAUUACAAUCAUAGCCAGCAGCAGCUAGAGCUAUUCGGACCGAGAAAGCGAGGAUAAAAGAUUAGUGCAAGGGUAGGGAACAUGUGGCUCUUUUGAUUACUGCAUCUGGCUCUCCGAUAAAUCUUAGCUGACUUUGAUUGAUUGAUACUUUUAUUAGUAGAUUGCACAGUACAGUACAUAUUCCAUACAAUUGACCACUAAAUGGUAACACCCGAAUAAGUUUAUCAACUUGUUUAAGUCGGGGUCCACGUUAAUCAAUUCAUGGUAUUGCUUGACAUUGCUUAACCUAAGUAAUGAAUAAUUCCGCUGCUAAUCACUGUGUUAAAAAUAACGUUUAAAAUAUAUAACAUUCUCAUGCAUUUUAAUCCAUCCAUCUGUUUUCUACCGCACCUGUUCAAGUAUUUUACUUAUUGGUUCUGCUUCAACAUAACAAUGUUAUAAAAAAGAAUGAGACUUAAUGUUUUAAAAAUGUUGGCCUUACUUAAAAAUGCACGUAUUUAGAUGUAUUCAGUGUUAAAAAAAAUGUUGUAUGGCUCUCGUGGAAAUACAUUUUAAAAUAUUUGGCUUUCAUGGCUCUGUCAGCCAAAAAGCUUCCCGACCCCUGGAUUUGCGGAUGAGAAAAUUUAGUGAAGGACUAGGGGGGAAAAAAAGGCGAUUGCAGUGGGAGCGAUUCAGAUGUUAGACACAUUUACUAGGAUAAUUCUGGAAAAUCCUUAUCUGCCUAUUGUGUUAGUGUUUUAGUGGGAUUAAAUAGUACCUGAAAGUCGGAGGGGUGUGGCCACGGGUGUGUUGAUGCCAGUCUCUGAUGGAAUCAGUCACGCAGCUGUAGCAGGACAGAAGCUCUGCUGAUGUCUCCGGUAAGAGCCAACUUAUUACUAUAAUUUUCUCACCGAAAACUGCCGGUUGACAUGUAUUCUGAUCCAUAGUAAAGCUUCAUCUUCGGGAAUUUUAAACAAGGAAACACUGGCUGUGUUUGUGUGGCUAAAAGCUUCCCCACCUACAUCUUUCUUCUCUGACGUCUCCAUUAUUAAUUGAACACAUUGCAAAAGGUUCAGCAACACAGAUGUCCAGAAUACUGUGUAAUGUGAUUAUAGCAGACUACUUAUAGCUUGGAUCAGGCUGGAAAAUGUCCGCUACAACCUGAGACGUCAAACGUACGCGUCGUCAUACUGCGACGUUUUCAACACGGCAUUUGGUGGGAAAUUUAAAAUUGCAAUUUAGUAAAGUAAACCGGCCGUAUUGGCAUGUGUUGCGAUGUUAAUAUUUCAUCAUUGAUAUAUAAACUAUCAGACUGCCUGGUCGGAAGUAGUGGCUUUCAGUAGGCCUUUAAGUUUUAUAUUCAUAAAUGUAAGUUUUUCAAUACCCGACCUGUUUUUUUGUGCCUUUAAAAAAGAUUUUGAACUCUACAUUAAAGCACAUUAUCUCUUACAACCAAAAAGCUGUGGAAACGAUGACGCUGUGUUCCAAAUUUAAUUUAUUUACUGAGAUUGUGUGAGCAUAUGGCUUUGCACUUUAUUUUAUAUUUUUUGCGUUCUAUUUGUUACUUUGAAUUUACAAUCCCCUGAUGCUGUUUUGUACAAUUUUUAUACUGUUUUGUACUGUUUUUGUACUUUGAUUAUUAUUUUCAACUAUUUGUAAAUGUUAAUUUAUAAGUAAAGGUUUAUAAAAAAAUGAGUGUAAAUGUUAAUUUAUAAAUAAAGGUUUAUUUAAAAAAAAUGUGCAGUUAAUCAUGUGACUGCCUGCCUCUGUUUGAUUGGUAAAACGGAGUCUAACAUCACCAGUGACUGCAUUUGAUUAGUGAAACGCGGGCAUGUGAUAGAUUCUACUUUGAAGGUCUGUGACAAAGCGAGUAGUGAACUUAAUGUAGAUAAAUGGAGCGAAUAAAAAGUAGCGUUUCUUCUCUAUAAAUAUAAUCAAGCAAAAGUAUUUUGCAUUAAAACUACUCUUAGAAGUACAAUUUAUCCCAGAAAUUACUUGAGUAGAUGUAACUGAGUAAAUGUAGCGCCUUACUACCCACCUCUGCACCUUACUAGUCAUGUUAAUGCCAUAGUGCGUCUACAUUUAUUUUGACUUGGCACUCCACAAAUUUGCCAAAUAUUAAACGUUCGAGCUGGAAAACUUUGCUAUAUUUUGCGAAAAUUAGCUCAUUUGGAAUUUGCCUGCAUCAUGUCUUUAAAAAAAAAGCUGGCACAAGUGGCAAAAAAGAUUGAAAAAGUUGAGGAAUGCUCCUCACUUAUUUGGAACAUCCCAGAGGUGAACGGGUGGGUGCCAUGAUUGGCUUAAAAGCAGCUUCCAUAAAAUGUUCACUCAUUUUACAAACAAGAAUGUAGCCUGGGUCACCACUUUGUCAACAAAAGCCUGAGCAAAUUGUUUUAAGAACCAAUCAGUUAUUGCAAGGGAUUUCACCAUCUAUGGUCUGUUUUAUCAAGGUUCAGAGAAUCUGGAGAAAUCACUGCCUGUAAGCAGCAAGGCUGAAAACACACAUUGAAUGCCCGUGACCUUCAAUCCCUCAGGUGGUACUGCAUCAAAAAUCCACAACAGUGUGUAAAAGAUAUCACCACAUGGGCUCAGGAACACUUCAGAAAACUACAGUUGGUCGCUACAUCUAAGUGCAAGUUAAAACUACUAUGCAAAAGCGAAGCCAUUUAUCAAGAACACCCAGAAACGCUUCACUGGGCCCAAGUUCAUGUAAGAUGGACUGAUGCAAAGUGGAAAAGUCUUAUGUGGUCUGAUGAGUCUACAUUUCAGAUUGUUUUUUGGAAACUGGAUGUUGUGUCCUCCAGACCAAAGAGGAAAAGACUGUUCUAUGGUGAAAGUGUAAAAGGCAGCAUGUGUGAUGGUAUGGGGGUGUAUUAGUGCCCAAGGCAUGGGUAACUUACUCAUCUUAGAAAGCACCAUAAAUGCUGAAAGGUACAUACAGCUUUUGGAGCAACAUGUUAUCAUGGACGCCCCUGCUUAUUUCAGCAAGAAAUGCCAAGCCAUGUGUUACAACAGCGUGGCUUCAUAGUAAAAGAGUGUGGGUACUAGACUGGCCUGGCUGUAGUUCAGACAUUGAAAGUGUAAAGGCUAAAAUAUGAGUCAGGAGAAUGGGAAAUAAUUCCACUUCAAAAAUGUGUCUCCUCAGUUCCCAAACCUUUAAUGCGUAUUUUUAAAAGGAAAGGCCAUGUAACUGGUAAAAAUGUAUCCUGAAACAUCUCAAAUGUUAUAUUUCUGCGUGGAGAAGAACUUCUGAGAAUGGUGUUUGAAAAGCACUGAGCAGGAUGGCUGUUCAAUUUCCUUGUUUGCAUGCAGUGACAAUAAAGGUGUUCUGAAAGGGAAUAAGCAGUAGAAAAUGGAUGGAUGGAUGAUUCUGAUCCUAGUUCAUAUGUACUUUAAAGGCCUACUGAAACCCACUACUACCGACCACGCAGUCUGAUAGUUUGUACAUCAAUGAUGAAAUAUUAACAUUGCAACACACGCUAAAUUGCAAUUUUAAAUUUCGCGCCGAAAUAUCCUGCUGAAAAGUCUCAGUAUGAUGGUGCGUGUGCGUGACGUCAUGGAUUGUAGAGGACAUUUUGUUCUAGCUAUGAACUUGUCUGUUUCCAUCGCAUAAUUCCACAGUAUUCUGGACAUCUGUGUUGCUGAAUCUUUUGCAAUUUGUUCAAUGAACAAUGGAGACGUCAAAGAAGAAAGCUGUAGGUGGGAAGCGGUGUAUUACGGCCGGCUUUAGCAACACAAACGCAGCCGGUGUUUCAUUGUUUACAUUCCUGAAGGUGAAGCUUUACUAUGGAACAGAUGUCAAGCGAACACGGUUGGAUUAGACCACACACACAAAGUACAGUGUAUUAAAGGCCUACUGAAACCCACUACUACCGACCACGCAGUCUGAUAGUUUAUAUAUCAAUGAUGAAAUAUUAACAUUGCAACACAUGCCAAUACGGUCGGUUUAGUUUACUAAAGUGCAAUUAUACAUUUCCCGCGGAGUUUCUUGUUGAAAACAUCACGGAAUGAUGACGCGUGUUUGUGACGUCUCGGGUUGUAGCGGACAUAUUAGCCCAGCACCACUUACGGCUAAAAGUCGUCUCAUUUCAUCGCAUAAUUACACAGUAUUUAGGAGAUCUGUGUUGCUGAAUCUUUUGCAAUUUGUUCAAUUAAUAAUGGAGACGUCAAAGAAGAAUGCUGUUGGUGGAAAGCGGUGGAUUGCAGCUGCCUUUAGCACCGAAACACAGCCGGUGUUUCUUUGUUUGUUGUGAAGCUUUAACACAGAGCGGUCAAGCGAACAUGUUUCUCUACGUCAACCAGCAAGUUUUGGGAUGGGAAAAUUGUGAUAUUAAGUCUGCUCUUACCGGAGACUUGAGUGGAUUAUGGGACCUCCUGCAGCAGCUGUCAAAAAGGCAGCUGUGAUCUUGGCUCCUCAACUUCUCUCAGAGAUACUGGCGUUCACCGCAGCCAUCCGACUUUCAGUACAAAAGAGGCGAAGGAGGAACGAUCAAGGCAGGAGUAGGAGAAGGAACAACGAUGACCACGACGAGGAAGAUCCAGAUCACGAUGAGCCCCUGCACCAGUCGCAGACAGCGGACACCAAAAGGUGUGCUGCGACCAGCAGGAAGAGCCCGCGCGUUGUGGCGUGACCGAAUGGCAAGAAGAGGACAGGUUUAUUGAAAUAAUAAAUCAGAGUCAAAGCUUC